rnacentral:rRNA from 1 species
AGAGUUUGAUCCUGGCUCAGGAUGAACGCUGGCGGCGCGUCUUAAGCAUGCAAGUCGGACGGGAUUCAGUAGCUUGCUAAUGAUGAGAGUGGCGGACUGGUGAGUAACACGUGGGUGACAUACCCUCCAGACUGGGAUAGCCGGUAGAAAUACCGGGUAAUACCGGAUGUGAUGCAUGAGGCUAGAGCUCAUGCAGGGAAGGAGCUACGGCUCCGCUGGAGGAAUGGCCUGCGGCCCAUCAGCUUGUUGGCGGGGUAACGGCCCACCAAGGCGAUGACGGGUAUCCGGCCUGAGAGGGCAAUCGGACACAUUGGGACUGAGAUACGGCCCAGACUCCUACGGGAGGCAGCAGCUAAGAAUAUUCCGCAAUGGACGAAAGUCUGACGGAGCGACGCCGCGUGGAUGAUGAAGGCCGGAAGGUUGUAAAAUCCUUUUGAAACCGAGGAAUAAGUCCUGCAGGGAAUGGCAGGAUGGUGACUGUAAGUUUUGAAUAAGCAACGGCUAAUUACGUGCCAGCAGCCGCGGUAACACGUAAGUUGCGAGCGUUGUUCGGAAUUAUUGGGCGUAAAGGGCAUGUAGGCGGACCGGCAAGCUUGGUGUGGAAUCCCGUGGCUCAACCACGGAACUGCAUUGAGAACUACCGGACUAGAGUGAGUGAGGGGGAGCCGGAAUUCCAGGUGUAGGGGUGAAAUCUGUAGAUAUCUGGAAGAACACCAAUGGCGAAGGCAGGCUUCUAUCACAUGACUGACGCUGAGGUGCGAAGGUGCGGGGAUCAAACAGGAUUAGAUACCCUGGUAGUCCGCACA